CGAAAUAGAAGCCCGCUGGAUUGGGUAAUUAGCUGUUAACUAAUUUUUCGCGGGAUCAAGGCCCGCCUGUUUAG
rnacentral:tRNA from 1 species